AGCUUUUGCAGCUUGAUAUUUUUCAGAUCCAUUUGUCAAGAGUGGCUCUCCGCUCGACAAUGUGGUUGAGAAAGGAAGCUCCCACAAAAUGCAAGUACGAUGUCAUUCCUAAGAAACAAUGUUUCCAAACGGUCAUUUAGCUUGGAGUGGGCUUGGGGUUACUUCUCUUAUUCAUCUGAACAGUGCAGUUCAAUAGUCAGGAUCCCUAUAUGAUUUCACUGGCGAUAGCUAUGAACCUGUGUUCUUUGGUAAAUAUACAAUUAUUAUUAUUAUUAUACACAUAGUUCACUGUAAUUGUUUACCAGUGUUGAUGAGAUGAAAUAUUUGUGGGGGGGAGCUUCUAUUGCUUUUUUGUUGUUUUAUCAACAGAGUUAUGAAGAAAACUCAAUUUAGCGCAGGAUGGCCAACCAGAAAUGUAAGAACCCUCUCAUAUCUUACUAUAUGCUUCACUAUGAUGAAAACAGUUUGACAUGGAGAUGUUGGUGGACUAAGCUUAAGUUGGGGAGACUGUCCUUUGUUGGAAUUAGUUACAGAUCUAUGACUGGAUAAUGGCGAGAGCAGUGAAGAAGCAGAGGUGCAUUGCAGUUUCUCUUUUAGAUGAGGUGAGUGCAGAAAACGGCUUUUGCAGCUUGAUAUUUUUCAGAUCCAUUUGUCAAGAGUGGCUCUCCGCUCGACAAUGUGGUUGAGAAAGGAAGCUCCCACAAAAUGCAAGUACGAUGUCAUUCCUAAGAAACAAUGUUUCCAAACGGUCAUUUAGCUUGGAGUGGGGUUGGGGUUACUUCUCUUAUUCAUCUGAACAGUGCAGUUCAAUAGUCAGGAUCCCUAUAUGAUUUCACUGGCGAUAGCUAUGAACCUGUGUUCUUUGGUAAAUAUACAAUUAUUAUUAUUAUCCACAUAUUUCACUGUAAUUGUUUACCAGUGUUUGUUGAUGAGAUGAAAUAUUUGUGGGGCGGGGGGGGAUCUUCUAUUGCUUUUUUGUUGUUUUAUUAACAGAGUUAUGAAGGAAUCUCAAUUUAGCGCAGGAUGGACAACCAGAAAUGUAAGAACCCUCUCAUAUCUUACUAUAUGCUUCACUAUGAUGACAUGGAGAUGUUGGUGGACUAAGGUUAAGUUGGGGAGAAAGUCCUUUGUUGGAAUUAGUUACAGAUCUAUGAAAGGAUAAUGGCGAGAGCAGUGAAGAAGCAGAGGUGCAUUGCUGUUUCUCUUUUAGAUGAGGUGAGUGCAGAAAACUGAUUUUCCAGCUUGAUAUUUUUCAGAUCCAUUUGUCAAGAGUGGUUCUCCGCUCGACAAUGUGGUUGAGAAAGGCAGCUCCCACAAAAUGCAAGUAUGAUGUCAUUCCUAAGAAACAAUGUUUCGAAACGGUCAUUUAGCUUGGAGAUUUUGGGAGGUGGGUUGUAUUGCUUUAUUCUUUUUUAUCAGCAGAGUUAUGAAGAAAACUAAUGCAGGAUAGCCAUCAAAAUAUGUUAGAACCCUCUCCUAUCUCACAAUAUUUUUUGCUAUGGUGAAAACAGUUUGACAUGGAGAUGUUGGUGGACUAAGCUUAAGUUGGGUGUCUGGGGAGACUGUCCUUUGUUGGAAUUAUUUAUAGAUCUAUGACUGUAUAUUGGCGAAAGCAGUGAAGAAGCAGAGGUGCAUUGUAGUUUCAACAGUGUCACUCCUUUAGAACAAAGUGGUUGAGAAAUGCAGGCCUCACAAAAAUGCAAGUACAAUAUCAUUGUUGAGUGUUUCCGAACAGUCCUUUGACAUGGAGUGGGGUUGGGGGCACUUGUUUUUUUUUGUUUGUUUGUUUUGUAGUUUAAUAAUUCCUGUAUUUUACUAUUCUUAUGCUAGUGUAUGUUUUUGUGAUUAAAUUUUGGUUGGUCUCUUUAGUUUUUUUGUUGUUUUUACUGAACAGAUUUGUUUAAUAAACUGAAUUUAUCAUUUUAAGUCUUAGUAGAACCAAGUCCCCUUAAAAUGCUAGUAAAUUUUAGUCUUCAUGUAACAGUUUUUCCAAAUUGUCGUUUUAAUUGGAGUUUCCAUUUUAGAAACCUUGCAUGAUUACACUGAAUAUUGACUGGUAAAAUGUAGACUUUCAUACACUAAUUUCACUGUGGUUGUUAGUUUGUUUUGAGGGGCUGCCAUUUCAGUUUUCCUCUCAGGCAGCAGAAAGGCUAAGGUGCACCCCUGGUAGUAGUCCAUAAAGUUCUAUUCACUAAAGCAUUUUACAGAGUAUCUUGACCGUCCUCAACUCACCUACGCCAUCCUUAAUAGGAAUUCUGAACAUAAAUGGAAAUUUAAGUACCUUAUUAACAUUCAUAACAUUGUAUGUUGACUUUUCUUCUUACCACGUCAAGUAUGUGUGUUACCGUUGUAUUAAAACCUGAUGUGAAUAGUGUAAUGGUGUAUUAUUUGUCUCCUCAAUGAAAUCUGCCAUCUGUUUGCCUCCGUUGGAGCACAUUGACUUGGGAGAAGAGAAGAAGUAUUCCAUUCAUGGGUUGUGAGAAAAAAAAAGUACCGUGCUAGGAAUUCCAUCAUUAUGGAUGAUGUUCCAGUACUAUGACUACUGCGUUUUGAGCAGCCGAGCCCCUCGCUUCCUCACUAAAAUGAGCUGGUUCACAUGUAUGGAGAAGAUGAGAGCUACAAAGUGUCCUGUACCUGUCUAAGAAGAAACUACAGGACUUUUUCCUUUAUCCUGAAUUUAUUGCAUUAAACAAUAUGUAAAGGACUUGGCCAGGACUUAUUGUCAAAGGACUUAUGGGAUUCUUCUGUAGAAGAAAGGACUAACUUCUGUCAUUUUUUGCAAAUGCAUGCAGUUUUUGUUAAUAAAAUGAUAUAUGAAACUCUU